CCUACGGGAGGCAGCAGUGGGGAAUAUUGGACAAUGGGCGGAAGCCUGAUCCAGCCAUGCCGCGUGUGUGAAGAAGGCCUUUUGGUUGUAAAGCACUUUAAGCGAGGAGGAGGCUACUAGUAUUAAUACUACUGGAUAGUGGACGUUACUCGCAGAAUAAGCACCGGCUAACUCUGUGCCAGCAGCCGCGGUAAUACAGAGGGUGCGAGCGUUAAUCGGAUUUACUGGGCGUAAAGCGUGCGUAGGCGGCUGAUUAAGUCGGAUGUGAAAUCCCUGAGCUUAACUUAGGAAUUGCAUUCGAUACUGGUCAGCUAGAGUAUGGGAGAGGAUGGUAGAAUUCCAGGUGUAGCGGUGAAAUGCGUAGAGAUCUGGAGGAAUACCGAUGGCGAAGGCAGCCAUCUGGCCUAAUACUGACGCUGAGGUACGAAAGCAUGGGGAGCAAACAGGAUUAGAUACCCUGGUAGUCCAUGCCGUAAAACGNUGUCUACUAGCCGGUUGGGUUCUUUGAGUACGUUUAGUGGCGCGGCGUAACGCGAGUAAGUUAGCCGCCGUUGGGGUUAGGUACGGUUCGCGAGACGUUAAACGUUAAAGGUUAAGUUAGACGGCGUUGAGACGNGCGACGGACGACGACGAGGGAGGUUAGG
rnacentral:rRNA from 1 species